GACCAGACUCCUACGGGAGGCAGCAGUGGGGAAUAUUGCACAAUGGGGGAAACCCUGAUGCAGCGACGCCGCGUGAGUGAAGAAGUAUUUCGGUAUGUAAAGCUCUAUCAGCAGGGAAGAAAUAGCGACCUUUGGGUCGCCAGACGGUACCUGAUUAAGAAGCCCCGGCUAACUACGUGCCAGCAGCCGCGGUAAUACGUAGGGGGCAAGCGUUAUCCGGAUUUACUGGGUGUAAAGGGAGCGUAGACGGCAGCACAAGUCUGAAGUGAAAGGCAGGGGCCCAACCCCUGGACUGCUUUGGGAACUGUACGGCUGGAGUGCAGGAGAGGUAAGUGGAAUUCCUAGUGUAGCGGUGAAAUGCGUAGAUAUUAGGAGGAACACCAGUGGCGAAGGCGGCUUACUGGACUGUAACUGACGUUGAGGCUCGAAAGCGUGGGGAGCAAACAGGAUUAGAUACCCCCGUAA
rnacentral:rRNA from 1 species